rnacentral:ncRNA from 1 species
AUGCAGCAAGGUGCCCGCAGAUACUGCGGGAGAAUAGGGAAGCUGAGUGAAAAUCUCACACGGUCGCGCCGCUGUAAGGGAGGAACUGUAUUUUAAGGAUCCGGAUCACUGGGAGAAUUCCCGGGAAGAUAAAAAUAUAGUGAGGAUACCCAAGUCAGAAGACCUGCCUUGCGCAU